rnacentral:rRNA from 1 species
AGCUGAUCAUUGGGUGUAAAGGGUGCGCAGGCGGUCUUGUAAGACAGAGGUGAAAUCCCCGGGCUCAACCUGGGAACUGCCUUUGUGACUGCAAGGCUGGAGUGCGGCAGAGGGGGAUGGAAUUCCGCGUGUAGCAGUGAAAUGCGUAGAUAUGCGGAGGAACACCGAUGGCGAAGGCAAUCCCCUGGGCCUGCACUGACGCUCAUGCACGAAAGCGUGGGGAGCAAACA